rnacentral:lncRNA from 1 species
AAAACAUUAAAAAACGUUAAUUUUCAAUGUCAUGUUGGCAAAAAUAAGUUUCAUUACUCCACUCCUACAACUGGUGUGUGCGUCAAAUGUAGCAAGGAAGGGACGUCCUAAAAUGAUAGGAAUUUCAUUUUCAGAAUGAAAAACAGGUUAUGUAUCCAAAAUAACAAAGUCAACAGGGUAGUAAAAUUUGUCCACUUGGACCAAUACAUCCUCAAUUACC